AGGGAAAUGGCUCAGUGGUAGAGCAUAUGCUUAGCAUGCACAAAGUCCUAGGUUCAAUCCCCAGUACCUCCA
rnacentral:tRNA from 1 species